GGGAGGAUGAACUGGUAGGGCUGCACAUUUCCUGCACGAAGAGCAGGGGUGUCUUUAGGAGUGGCUUUGAAAAGCACAAAGGAAGGAUCUGAUGAGGAAGGCGGGAGGUAGGAUCCAACCUCGACCUCUCUAGCUUCUGAAAUGGCAGUUUCUUUUAUCAGAAUGAGGGGAGACAAUGCGAAUCCUUGCAAAAUUUGUCUCCUGAGAGGUAAAUGGUUUCGGUUUUGGUGCCAUAUUGUGGGUGUUGUUGAGGUUUUGAUGGGAGAUUUUGGAGAUGUGGAGGUUGAGAAAACUGGAGAGAUUGGGGUUAGGGAAGCAGUGGCCAUUUCAGAC
rnacentral:misc_RNA from 1 species